rnacentral:rRNA from 1 species
GAUGAACGCUGGCGGCGUGCUUAACACAUGCAAGUCGAACGAAGCUCCUAAACCUGAGAUUCGUCAAGGGCGAGGGAUGGCUAGUGGCGGACGGGUGAGUAAUGCGUGAGCAACCUGCCCUUCAGAGGGGGACAACAGCUGGAAACGGCUGCUAAUACCGCAUAAUGUAUUCGGACGGCAUCGUCUGAAUACCAAAGAUUUUAUCGCUGAAGGAUGGGCUCACGUCUGAUUAGCUAGUUGGUGAGGUAAUGGCUCCCCAAGGCUGCGAUCAGUAGCCGGACUGAGAGGUUGGCCGGCCACAUUGGGACUGAGAUACGGCCCAGACUCCUACGGGAGGCAGCAGUGGGGAAUAUUGGGCAAUGGGCGCAAGCCUGACCCAGCAACGCCGCGUGAGGGAAGAAGGCUUUCGGGUUGUAAACUUCUUUUGGCAGGGACGAAACAAAUGACGGUACCUGCAGAAUAAGCUCCGGCUAACUACGUGCCAGCCGCCGCCGUAAUAC